UACGUAGGGGGCAAGCGUUGUCCGGAAUCAUUGGGCGUAAAGAGCGCGUAGGCGGCCCUGUAAGUCCGCUGUGAAAGUCAAGGGCUCAACCCUUGAAUGCCGGUGGAUACUGCAGGGCUAGAGUCCGGAAGAGGCGAGUGGAAUCCUGGUGUAGCGGUGAAAUGCGCAGAUAUCAGGAGGAACACCGAUGGCGAAGGCAGCUCGCUGGGACGGUACUGACGCUGAGGCGCGAAAGCGUGGGGAGCAAACAGGA
rnacentral:rRNA from 1 species